CCGGAAGGUGCGGCUGGAUCACCUCCUUUCUAAGGAGCACCUGGCGCGUCUGCCAUCUGGCAGACGCGUCCAGAGCCACAUCUCAGGCGAAUGUCCUGAGGUGGCAGCUCACUAGUGGAGCACUGGUUAUUCGGUCCGUGUACCAGCUCACGUCGGCUAGUACGCCUCUUACCUCGCGUAAGGGGACGGGACGCCGCUCGCGAGGGGUUCGCGGGCCGAGCACGCUGUUGGGUCCUGAGGGAACGGCCGCAAGGCACCCUCGGCCCGGACCGGCCGCCGCGCCCGCAAGGGCGGCAGGCAGCCGGGACCGCCCGUAUCUUGAGAACUGCACAGUGGACGCGAGCAUCACAUCUGUAGUUGCCAAGUUAUUAAGGGCGCAC
rnacentral:misc_RNA from 1 species